UGUUUAAUUCGACCCAACACAGGAAAGCUCACCCGACCCGGACACUGUGAGGAUUGACAGAUUGAUAGCUCAUUCUUGAUUCGGUGGGUGGUGGUGCAUGGCCGUUCUUAGUUUGUGGAGCAAUUUGUCUGGUUAAUUCCGAUAACAAACGAGACUUUAACCUGCUAAAUAGUAGACUGGUCCUCUGUGCUCGCUUAGAGCGCGGCUUCUAUUGCUUCUUUAUGGGGUAGUGUGGUCGUGGCACAGUUAAGUCGCACGAGAUCGAGCAAUAACAGGUCUGUGAUGCCCUUAGACGUCCGGGGCCACACGUGCGCUACAAUGACGGUGCCAGCGAGUCUGGAAACCUGGCCCGAAGAUGUUGGUCAAACUGCUUCAUCACCAUCGUGACUGGGCUCAUGGCUCGCAAUUAUUCCUCUUGAACGAGGAAUUCCCGGUCAGUGCAAGUCAUAAGCUUGCGCUGAUUACGUCCCUGCCCUUUGUACACAACGCCCGUCGUUUCUACCGAUUGAAUGGUUUAGUGAGGUCAUUGGAUUGGUGUCGUUGUAGUAGCUUUGCAGCUCGACUG
rnacentral:ncRNA from 1 species